UUUUAAAGGUUGGGCUUUGUUAUUUCCUUAUUUGGGCCGAGUAUUUGGGCCGAUUUUUAUGAGUGAUGGGCUUCGAUUUUUAAAUAGAUUUGGGCUGCGAUUUUUAAAAGCUUGGGCCGAUUUUUAAUUUUAUUUAGCUGGGCCCGAUUUAUUUUAUUCAGUCUGGGCCAUUCAUAUUUUAUUGAGUUGGGCCUCAUCUUUUAAAUUUAUAUGGGCUAUUAUUUAUUUAAGCAUGAGCUCUAUUUCAUCUAUUUAAAUGGCUUCCCUAUUUUAUUUAAUUAGACUAUUAAUUAGUUUGAUUAAUUAUUUUUAAAGACUUUGGAUUGCCUUCAAUUAAUUAAAUUGGGCUUUCUUAUUUUUAAUUAAUUGAACUAUUAUUAGUUUGAUUAAUUUAUUUAAAGGAUAAUUUUUAUAAUAAUAUUAAAUUAUUAUUAAGUGCAUAUUUUAAGUAAUUACUUAUCAUAUGCUAAGCAUGACAUGACAUUUCAUUUGCAUCAUGAAAUAAAAAGUAUUUAUGAUUUAAUUGGUUUUAUUUAUAAUUCCAAUUAUUAAAGAAAGAUGAGUAAGAAUAUUGUUGGUGUUCUUAACUCAAGAGAAAUGUUUUUAAUUAUUUAUUCAUUAAAAACCCGGCUAAGUGAAUCAUAGAAUGUUAAGCACUACACCAUGACUUAAGAUUAGAUUCAAGGAGACCUAUUAAGAAUAGAAUUUCUUGUAGGCUUUGUGGACCAAGGGGAUUAGCACUGUUUUCCCAAGACAGGUUAUGUGAUUAUGAUCUUCAGGCUUUGCCUAUCCAGGUUGAGCAGUUGAUGGAAUGGAAUGAUGUUGAGCGGGUGUUCCUUUGACAUUUCAAGAAAUGUAACCUUGAGUAUACAUCUUCAUAUGUAUAUCUCACACGUUUUCCGCUGCAAAACACUUUGAUUAAGAUAGCUCUAUGAUAUGAAGUUGUGAUACGUGUUAUUGGGUAACCACCUUAAUCAGUUCUCAAUUAUGUGUAUCCAAAUAAUCAUAUAUGAUCCUAGCAUUUUAUCUAUGAGUGACAUUUCCAUAUACUUUAAUGUUAAGUAAUUGUCCAUUUCCA